rnacentral:ncRNA from 1 species
AUAGGCUUUGCUCGUCGCUGCAAAAUCAGCGACUGGGUUUGGUCGCCCGGGUU